rnacentral:rRNA from 1 species
UACGUAGGUGGCAAGCGUUGUUCGGAAUCACUGGGCGUAAAGCGCACGUAGGCGGGUUGUUAAGUCGGGGGUGAAAUCCUGGAGCUCAACUCCAGAACUGCCUUCGAUACUGGCGACCUUGAGUCCGGGAGAGGUGAGUGGAACUCCGAGUGUAGAGGUGAAAUUCGUAGAUAUUCGGAAGAACACCAGUGGCGAAGGCGGCUCACUGGCCCGGUACUGACGCUGAGGUGCGAAAGCGUGGGGAGCAAACAGG